CAUCUUCAUCUUCAUCCUCAUCGUCAGUGGUGAUGUCAGAUUGAGGAAAAGACCCGAAACAUCGAAAAUCGAAACGAAUGGCCCGCAAGCACGUUAAGAACUGCAUGACUUCUUUCUUGAAACCGAGUGAGUCCACCCAACUUAGUCUCUUUUUGUGUUUCCUGCCGUUGUGAAUUCUUUCGAUCUCUUCCAUCACUGAUUGCCAACUUUUGCACGAGCUUGUCUUAGACCUGACUUUGAUCUGUCCGGCGCAUGUGACUUUCGGGGAGGUUGGUUCCGUGAUCUCGGAUCCCAUUUGCUUGUUUUUAGCCCAUAGGAGAGGGCUAGCUUGGCCGCCAGCUCCACAACCUUUUCUGGUGCUUGAUUUCUUA
rnacentral:lncRNA from 1 species